GGUCAUGUUCUGAGCUCCAAGACAGGAUUGGGUGGAGAAGAUGCAUGCCAGAAGACCAGCUUCAUCCAUGAAGCCUGAGUUGUGUGCUGAUCAAAGAGUUAAUCUUGGCAUGGCAGCCCCUCUUGACAUGACUUUUAGCCUCUGAGUUUAUGGCAGUGCUUUUGAUAAGGUUCAUUGAUGAAGAUCUUUCUAAUGGACAUAUGAUGUAAAAUAUUCCAAAAGAUUAUAUCCCUUCAGUGCCCAUUGUAUACUCAGACAGAACCCUACAGCAGCAAGGAGAGGAGCAUAUAGGUUGGGGCAAUUAGAAACCAACACUCUCCUACUGUGGCACUAUAGACCCAAGGUUGGCUUGGAGUACUUGGAGGCAAGACUGCUUGACAGAAGAUACCCUGCUUUCCUAAUGCCCUCAAAAGCAAAAGGCCCAAGAGUGUGAACUCCCUGGAGCUGCUUUGCACUUGAUGCAAUCCUGGCCUCAUAAGAGAGGUCUGGCAAGUGGAGCUGGAUGUCUCAGAUAGAGGAGAACAUGGACUCGGUGGUGCCACCAUUCCUCAGCUCUCCAUUCAAGCCUAACUGCUCUUGGGGUUUGGGGGCAAUUGGCACAGAGUCAACAAUGUAGACUCCAGCAGAAGAUGAGAAAUGCUGCAGCAAGCUCAUCUGAACACUGCUGCAAGCUCCUUUAAUACCCUCCACACAUGCCCCCUUUGGUCCCAAUAAAGUAUCUAUUCC